ensembl:snRNA
GUGUUGUAUGAAAGAAGAGAAGGUUAGCACUCCUCUUGACAAGGAUGGAAGAGGCCCUUGGGCCUGAUAACAAGCAUACGGUUAAGGCAUUGCCACUACUUGGUGGCAUCUAACAAUCGCUUUUU